ACACACACACACACACGCAGGAGGUUUAGUAAGCUGUAAACAAUACUUACAUAACAGUGCAAUUAUAAUAUUUAUUCCACUCUUAAUGGAAUAAGAUCUUAACAUAACAGAUGGGUUACCAGUCGUCCAUUCCUUUGAAGGAUGAUACCACAAAAUGUAUAAAAGCAGCUAUAGUAUCAUCGAAGCAGAUUUACAUACCACAGCUAGUACAACACUAAAAUGUACACGUACUCAAAAGACAAACAAAGACAUAAUUACAGUAUCCACUGACUUCUCAUAACUGCACAUACAUAAGAAAUAUCACUGGGGAAAAAACUCUUCUACGGUAAUAUAGCAAGCUCUCCCUGUGAAAAAAAUUAUUUAAUAAACCCCACAAUGGUUGCGUCCGAAAUUCCAUACUAACAUGCUGUUUAGUACGCUUAAACAGUAUGAGAGAUUUUUUUAGUAUGUCCAAAACCUUAGUAUGAGACCAAUAGUACGUAAAUUGCAUACAAUUUCCAGUGAAAUACUACAGUAUGCAAUGCUGGACACUAUGGCGGCAUAAAUAUCCCACAAUGCAAUGCAGUAGUAACGACCACAUUCAUAACAGACGGUGACAAACAGCUCUGUAACAUCAAUAACGCUUCACUUUAUGUAUUAAACAUUU